CACUAUGGCGGGCCGGGCGGGGCAGCCGAAAGGCUGGCCGGGCUUCGUUGAUGAACCGGUUUGUGACCCCCGCUGUCAGGCCCGCCACCUCU
rnacentral:antisense_RNA from 1 species